rnacentral:lncRNA from 10 species
CAUCUUUCACAUUUAGAGCCAUCAUCCACUAGAAUAGACUUCUGUGCGUUGUUUUGGUCCUCCUUGUGCAAGGUCAUGUUCAAGCUUGUUUAUUUCUCAUAUGGAUGCACAGUUGUCCUGAGAGCACCCACAGUCUUUGUGAAAGACUGCCCUCCUCACUCUACACCAUCAACUGUGCCCUAAGUCAAGUGUCUAUAUACUUAUAGCUCUGUUCUGGGAUCGCUGUUCUGUUCCAUAGGUCUAUUGAUCUAUCCUGUGUCAAUACCCAUGUCUUGACUACAGCAGCUUUAUAACAAGUCUUGUACCAGAUAAAAGCAAGUCUUCCCACCUUGUUUUUCUUCAUGCUUGGGUUUUGGAAAGUUCUCAGUCAUUACCUCUGUUUCUGCCCUUAUUCUCACUCUCCAAAUAUACAGAUGGUAGAUCUCACCAUAGCCUCUACAUUUCUGUAUCAACCAGGAUAGACUAGGAUGUUGCUAUGUUUUGGAUCUAUGUCCCCACCCAAAUCUCAUGUCAAAUUGUAAUCCUCAGUGUUGCAGGAGGGGCCUGGGGGGAGGUGAUUGGAUCACGGGGGCUGAUUUCCCCAUGGUCUUCUCACAAUAGUGAGUUCUCAUGAGAUCUGGUUGUUUAGAAGUAUGUAGCACCUCCCCCUGCUCUCUCUUCCUCCUUCUCUAGCCAUGUAAAAUGUGCCUGCUUCCCCUUGGCCUUCUGUCAUGAUUGUAAGUUUCCUGAGGUAUCCCUAGCCAUACUUCCUGUACAGCCUGCAGAACCAUGAGUCAAUUAAACCUCUUUUCUUUAUAAAUUACCCAGUCUCAGGUAGUUCUUUUUAGCCAUGUGAGAAUGGACUAAUACAGAUGUGCUGUGGAACAUGCAGUCUCCAAAUCUCAAUGGUAUAAAACAAAAUGAGUUUAUUUUUUACUUAUGCUACAUGUCCAUUGAGGGUUAACAGGGGGCUUCUGCUAACUGUAGUCUGUUAGGGACCCAGGCUGACAGAGCAACCACCAUCUUGAAUAUUGCUGGUCAGUAUACCAGAGGGAAAGAGCUGAGGAGGGUCUAGCACAAACACUUCUACUUAUAGCUCAUUGGUCAGAUCUAGUCAUUUGGCUCCAAGUUAUUAAAUCCAUGCACUUUGUCCUUAAUUUUGGUUAUUUUAAUUUUCAUGUCUAAAAUUUUAUUUGGUUCCAGCUCUCUGCUAAAAUCAAUCUAGUCUCUCUUUGAGCACAGUAAAUAUAGUUAUUUGAAAAUCUGUAGCUAACUCUAAUAUCCUGAUCCCUUGUGGAGCUAUUUCUAUCAUUUGUAGUUUCUGCAGAUUUUUGUUUAUAUUGCCUUGUAUUUUCCUGUGCCUUUGUUCUGUAUCUUUUUUUUUUUUUUUUUUUUUGAGACAGAGUCUUCCUCUGUCACCCAGGCUAGAGUGCAGUGGCAUGAUCUCAGCUCACUGCAACCUCUGCCUCCCAGGUUCAAGCGAUUCUCAUGCCUCAGCCUCCCGAGUAGCUGGGACUACC